UCGUUGUAGAGAAUUUAGAAAAUAAGGAUAAACACAGUAAUAACUUAAAAUGGCCUCUAAUCUCACCUGGAGAUACAGUUGUAAGGUUUGAAAUUGAGAAUUACAUGUCCUCUCACAUUGUUCUUCUUUUUCAAGUACGUUUUGGUUUUGAGACCCUCGAAUUCCCAUAUGAAUUGUAGCAGCAGCUAGUCAGUUACUGCAGAGGAGCCCACUGGGUUUGUGAUCGAAACCACGUUGAAUAUAUGGAUCGCUCUGUGGAACACUGACAUUCGAAGAGCGCUGUCAUCUGAUCCAGGAAUGUGCGUGGUGUGUCUGUCCAGGUGCCCUCACCUCCAGUGGCAUCCAUCCAGACACCAGCACUGACACUGGCCGUGCUCAGAACUGCCUCAGCCCUGAAGACACAACUGACAAAUAGAAGGGGGCAGCACCCUGUUACAGCAGGUGCUCUCACUUUGUGGGUCCUUAUGUAACUGCAUGGUUUUAAUCAGGACCGCCCUUUCUACAUUGUGUGGCGCUGCUGCCGUGUCUCCUAGUUAUUGUUUCUGGCCUGCAACAUGAGCAUCCCUGACUACGUGCAGUGUGCUGAGGAAUACGAGACUCUCCCCGUGGUCGUCCAACCCGUGGGGAUCAUUUCAGAGGACAAUUUCUUUUGCAUCUAUAAACCAAUCUCCUUGGUGAGCCAGAUCAGCCCGUGCGGCUCCCAGUGGGCACUCUGUAUCCACUAAAGGCACCACUAUGCGUUCGAGAAUGCAUGGAGUGACUUCCAGACCCACCGCACGGUCGUGGGCCUUGUCACCAUUACCGACUGCCUCUAGGCCAAGGCCUUCGAGAAGCUCCAUGUACAGAGGAGCUGUAUGGCACCACGCUUAAUGACUCUCAGCUCUUUGUCUUUGUGCUGCAUGGGGAGGUAGCCGAGCAGCUGCGCACCAACGUGGCCUUCAAACUACGAGGACUGCAGGGUGGUGGAGAAGAGGAUCGAGGACUUCACUGAGUCACUGUUAAUCUUGCUCAAGUCCAAGUGGCUGGAUGAGACCCUGACAAGUCUGGGGAAAGGAUCCCCCUCUUCUGCACCUUGUUUGAGAAGGAGGACUUCAUGGGACUGGACACAGACAGCAGGGCCCUGUGAUCUACACGUCCGCACCCCCUUCUGCUCCUUGGGGAUGAGGUGGCAGGUUUAGGUGCUUGGGCACUGCUGUGGGCACAGCUGCCAGCACCGGGCUACACCGAGGCUGGCUCCGUUCACCUCACAUGUCACCUCCUGCUGAGCCCCCAGGCGUUAGUCAAGGUCGUGGUCCCAAAGGAGCAAGCAAACACCCAGUUGGUCACCAUGCAGUGCUGCUACAGAGGGAGACCUGCCAAGACCUAAAGGAUAUUAUCAGAGAGGACUUCCUGGAAGAAAUGGGCUCUACAUUCAGUUGUGAAGACAGAAUUGUUUUGGUUACUGAGACCCUCGAAUUCCCAUAUGAAUUAUAACAGCAGAUAAUCAGUUUUUGCAGAGGAGCCCACUGGGAUUGUGAUCAAGACCACAUAGAAUAUACGGAUCACUCUGGGGAGCACUGCCAUUCCAAGAGCACUGUCUUCUGAUCCAGGAAUGUACGUGGCGUGUCUGUCCAGGUGCCCUCUCAUCCAGUGGCAUCCAUCCAGACACCAACACUGACACUGGCCAUCCUCAGAACUGCCUCAGCCCUGAAGACACAAGUGACAAAUAGAAGGGGGCCGCGCCCUGUUACAGCAGGUGCUCUCACUUUGUGGGUCCUUAUGUAACUGCGCGGUGUUAAUCAGGAUCGCCCGUUCUACAUUGUGUGGCGCUGCUGCAGUGUCUCCUAAUUAUUUGUUUCUCUGUCCACGUGGGUCAAAUCAUGGUGCCCCUCUAAAACCUCCAAAAAAAAAAAAAACAAAGUUUAUUCUCUAUUUUGCAACUUGCCAUCUCUACAUAAGUGCAGAAGAGUUAACAUCGUGAAAGAUCAGAGCCCGGAGAAUAGGCUCUCCUGGAUAUUUCAGGCUAAAGGCAACUUUCUUUUACAAAAGGAUCUGAGGAGCAGGAACAAAGAACGCAGGGAGAGAUCCAGGAAGACAUCUGACUGUGUUAAGAGACAACAGUCACAGCCACACGGGGAGCGAGGACACUUGCAGCAAAGUAAAACGACUUCACAACUAUUGCAUCAGAGCUGCCGGUGUGAGAGAGCCUAAGCCUGUCUCAGAGUGCAGGGGACAAGAGGAAAGGAAUGUGUAAGAAUGCUGGUGACUGAGUUAGAAGCAUGUUUCAAAGCUGUCCAUGUCCUUGCCAUCCAGAAGCGGAGCCUGGGAGCUUCCGAAUUUCUCCAGAAUGCGGUUUACAUUCAUCUUCGACAGCAUUCCUAGGAGAGAAUUCAGCAGUGCAGCAUCCUCUCCGAGCUCUAUGAUUUGAUCAGCUUCCACCGCAAGUCCUCCUUCUUCAAGCGGGUGGCCCCCGUGCAGCGUGCGGCCCCCGGCAUCCCGGAGCCUGGCGGGAAGGCCUGCUACCGACUCCUUCUGCAGACGUUUCCUGGCUACAGUCUGUCGCUGGAUCUGCAGGACUUCAGCAAAGGUGUUGGAACUAAAACAUUGCUUCAGUCCCAUUAACCAUGCCUGGUUUGGGCCCUGCUGUCCUGUCUCAUGAGGGUGAAUUCUGAUUCGUUUAGAACAGGGCUCAGCAGACUUUUUCUGUCAAGGGCUUGGGAGUAAGUAUUUCAGGGUCUGCAAACCUCCUGAUCUCUGGUGCAGCUGCUCAGCUCUGCUGUUCAGAUGCCAGAGCAGCCGGACAUUCCACACACCCACAGAGCGUUAUUAACAGCGGUCGCUGGGGCUGGAUUCGGUGUAUGAACUGCAGUUUGUCCCCACAGCCUCCUCACUAUUGACGCCUGCACCAGAGCGUGCAUUUGCGACAAUGGGUGAACCUGCACUGACACGUCAUCAUCACCCAGAGCCCAGACUUGACACUAGGAUUUACACUUGGUGGUGUGCACUCUGUGGGUUUGGACAGAUGUCCAAUGACAUGUAUCCACCGUCACAGCAUCAUACAGAGUAGUCUGUCUUAGUGACCCUAAAAAUGCUCAGUGCUGCACCUCAUUCAUUGCUCCUUCCCCUCUAGCCUCUGACAGCCACUGAUCUUUUAGUCUCUGUGGUUUUCCCUUUACCAGAACACCAUACAGUUGGAAUCAGACAGUUGCGGAACCUUCCCAGAUUGGCUUCUUUCACUUGGUAAUACGCAUUUAAGGUUCCUCCGUGUCUUUCCAUGCCUUGAUAUCUCAUUUCAUUUUAGCACCAAAUAAUAGUCCAUUUUCUGGCUUGACCACAGUUUAUCCAUUCACCUACUGAAGAACAGCUUAGUUGCUUCUGAGUUCUGGUGAUUAUGAAUAAAGCUGCUAUUAACAUCUGUAUGCAGUUUUGUGUGUGGACAUAAGUUUCCAUUUCGUCGAGUAAACACCAAGGAGCACAGUAGCUGGAUCAUAUGUUAGGAGUACGUUUAGUUUUGUAAAAAAUUGCCAGACCAUCUUCCAAAGUAUCUGGGCCAUUUUACAUUCCCACCAGCAAUGCAUGAGAAUUCCUGACGCUCCACGUCCUCACCAGCAUUCGGUGCUGUCAGUGUUCUGUGUUUUGGCAGUUCUGACAGGUGUGCAGUGGUACCUUGCUAUUUCAGUCUGCAUCCCCUUGAUGACAGAUGCUGUGGAGCAUCUAUCCAUAGACUUCUUUGGCAUCUAGAUUUCUUCUUUGAUGAGGUGUGUGUUCAGGCAUUUUGCUCAUUUUUUAAUCAGGUUGUUCAUCCUUCUUGUUGAGUUUAAAGAGAUUUUGGUAUAUUCUGGAUAUCAGCCCUUUAUCAAUGUGUCCCUGCCCUUCACCUGCAGCACCGGAGUUGUCCUUUGGGUCUCAGUGGAGUGUCAGCUCUUCAAAGAGGUUUCCUGUCUUCCCACAGCCUAAAUACUGUCCUUGUAUUUUUCACAUUCAUUGACUCAUUUUGUUCUUUUUAAAUAGCAUUUCCCAUAAUUUGUAAGUACAUUAAAAAAAGGGCAAUGAUUGAACACCACCUCCCCCACCAGGCUGUGUGCCCUGUGAGAGCAGAGGCCCUGUCCCCACUCACCAUUUCCCAUGACAGCACAUGGCACAUGUCCAUGUAAAAGUGUGUAAUGUGGGGCCAAACCUGAUGAGCAGCUAUGAUGACAUAUUUUGGCUACCAUUUAUUGAGUAGACUUUGUUUCUGAUGUUAAUUAUUAAAUCACAUGAAUGAAACUUGUUUGUUUUGAAAAAUAAAACAACAAAGCACACCUCCAUUUGAUUGGUACUUUCUAUUUUGCCUUCUGACCCAGGAGGGGAUGUUCACCACCAUUUUGUGGAGGAGGUUGGGGAGGUAAAGUAAGAGAAUUAGAUCAAAUAAAGUAAAAAUGAUAACUAUCAGUUGGCUUUAUUUUCACUAAGACAUAAAAGUUACUUUAAACCCUAUCUCAGCUGUUGUUCUGUUGUUUUAAACAUUUCUCAUAGAAUUAAAUGGAAGCCCACUAAACCCUGAAAGGGAAAUUGUGUGCUCAGGUCCUGAAAAGUGUUUAUGUCUAUUUCUUGAAAUGCACAUUUUCCCUGCUGGUUACAGAAAGUUGAGGCGGGAACA